GACGAACGCUGGCGGCGUGCUUAACACAUGCAAGUCGAACGGAAAGGCCCUGCUUUUGUGGGGUGCUCGAGUGGCGAACGGGUGAGUAACACGUGAGUAACCUGCCCUUGACUUUGGGAUAACUUCAGGAAACUGGGGCUAAUACCGGAUAGGAGCUCCUGCUGCAUGGUGGGGGGUGGAAAGUUUCGGCGGUUGGGGAGGGACUCGCGUCUUAUUAGCUGGUGGGUAGGGUAGUGGCCUACCAAGGCUUUGACGCGUAGCUGGUCUGGGAGGGUGACCGGUCACACUGGGACUGCGACACGGCCCAGACUCGUACGGGGGGGAGCAGUAUAGUGUAUUAUGGAAUGGACGAAGGCCUGAUCAAGCAGUGCGGCGUGAGUGGUGAAGGCGUUAGGGUUGUAAAGCUCUUUUACCCGGGGUGAUAAUGACGGUACCGGGAGAAUAAGCUCCGGCUAACUCCGUG
rnacentral:rRNA from 1 species